CAGCCGCCGCGGUAAUACCUGCAGCCCAAGCGGUGGUCGAUGUUAUUGAGUCUAAAGCGUUCGUAGCCGGUUUGGUAAAUCUUUGGGUAAAUCGGGAAGCUCAACUUUCCGACUUCCGAAGAGACUGUCAAACCUGGGACCGGGAGAGGCUAGAGGUACUUCUAGGGUAGGGGUAAAAUCCUGUAAUCCUAGAAGGACCACCGGUGGCGAAGGCGUCUAGCUAGAACGGAUCCGACGGUGAGGGACGAAGCCCUGGGUCGCAAACGGGAUUAGAUACCCCGGUAGUCCAGGGUGUAAACUGCUGCCGACUUGGUGUUGGAGGCCCUUCGGGGGCAUUCAGUGCCGGAGAGAAGUUGUUAUGUCGGCUACUUGGGGAGUACGUCCGCAAGGAUGAAACUUAAAGGAAUUGGCGG
rnacentral:rRNA from 1 species